GGGGAGGUAGCGAAGCGGUUAAACGCAUCAGACUGUAAAUCUGACGGCAGAAGCCUUCGGAGGUUCGAAUCCUCCCCUCCCCA
rnacentral:tRNA from 1 species